rnacentral:rRNA from 1 species
CAAUAGCGUAUAUUAAAGUUGUUGCAGUUAAAAAGCUCGUAGUUGAAGCCUCGGGCGGCGGCACUGGGCAGAAGCCCCGGUGCCCUCGCCCGCUCCUCGCAAAGAGGCCCUGCCCCAUUAACUUGGGGCUUGGCUGAGUUGCGUCCUUUACUGUGAACAAAUUAGGGUGUUUAAAGCAGGCCUACGUUUGAAUACACUAGCAUGGAAUAAUAAGAUAUGAUCUUGGUCGUAUUUUGUUGGUGACCGCCAAGGUAAUGAUUGAAAGAAACAGUUGUGGGUAUUCGUAUGAGCAUGUCAGAGGUGAAAUUCUUGGAUUUUGAUCAGACGAACGACUGCGAAAGCAUUUACCAAGGAUGUUUUCAUUAA